rnacentral:rRNA from 1 species
AAUCAACGCUGGCGGCGUGCCUCAGACAUGCAAGUCGAACGAUUAAACUUUCCUUCGGGGAAGAUAUAGAGUGGCGCACGGGUGAGUAACACGUAAGUAAUCUACCCUUGGGUGGGGAAUAACAUCGGGAAACCGAUGCUAAUACCGCAUAAUGCAGCGGCUUCUUAUGAAGACAGUUGUUAAAGCAUUUAUGUGCCUGGAGGA